rnacentral:rRNA from 1 species
UACGUAGGGUGCAAGCGUUGUCCGGAAUUAUUGGGCGUAAAGAGCUCGUAGGCGGCUUGUUGCGUCGACCGUGAAAACCCGGGGCUCAACUUCGGGCUUGCGGUCGAUACGGGCGGGCUAGAGUUCGGUAGGGGAGACUGGAAUUCCUGGUGUAGCGGUGAAAUGCGCAGAUAUCGGGAGGAACACCAAUGGCGAAGGCAGCUUGCUGGGACGGCACUGACGCUGAGACGCGAAAGCGUGGGGAGCAAACAGG